rnacentral:rRNA from 1 species
AGUGAACGCUGGCGGUAGGCCUAACACAUGCAAGUCGAACGGCAGCACAGGAGAGCUUGCUCUCUGGGUGGCGAGUGGCGGACGGGUGAGGAAUACAUCGGAAUCUACUUUUUCGUGGGGGAUAACGUAGGGAAACUUACGCUAAUACCGCAUACGACCUACGGGUGAAAGCAGGGGAUCUUCGGACCUCGCGCGAUUGAAUGAGCCGAUGUCGGAUUAACUAGUUGGCGGGGUAAAGGCCCACCAAGGCGACGAUCCGUAGCUGGUCUGAGAGGAUGAUCAGCCACACUGGACCUGAGACACGGUCCAGACUCCUACGGGAGGCAGCAGUGGGGAAUAUUGGACAAUGGGCGCAAGCCUGAUCCAGCCAUACCGCGUGGGUGAAGAAGGCCUUCGGGUUGUAAAGCCCUUUUGUUGGGAAAGAAAUCCAGCUGGUUAAUACCCGGUUGGGAUGACGGUACCCAAAGAAUAAGCACCGGCUAACUUCGUGCCAGCAGCCGCGGUAA